rnacentral:rRNA from 1 species
ACGAACGCUGGCGGCAGGCCUAACACAUGCAAGUCGAGCGGACAUCUUCGGAUGUUAGCGGCGGACGGGUGAGUAACGCGUGGGAACGUGCCCUUUGCUUCGGAAUAGCCUCGGGAAACUGGGAGUAAUACCGGAUGUACCCUUUGGGGGAAAGAUUUAUCGGCAAAGGAUCGGCCCGCGUUGGAUUAGGUAGUUGGUGGGGUAAUGGCCUACCAAGCCGACGAUCCAUAGCUGGUUUGAGAGGAUGAUCAGCCACACUGGGACUGAGACACGGCCCAGACUCCUACGGGAGGCAGCAGUGGGGAAUCUUAGACAAUGGGGGAAACCCUGAUCGAGCCAUGCCGCGUGAGCGAUGAAGGCCUUAGGGUUGUAAAGCUCUUUCACCGGGGAAGAUAAUGACGGUACCCGGAGAAGAAGCCCCGGCUAACUCCGUG